rnacentral:lncRNA from 1 species
AUGGUGGCAUUUGGGGCAGCUGUUUCUUCAGGAUUUUCCCAACUCUGGCAAAGUGGAGGUUCACUUUGUGAACCGUGUGAGUGGCGGUUGUGGCAGCCCUUCCCUCAGGACUGUUCCCACUCUGGCCUGGUGGCAUUUGUGGCAGUCCUUACCUCAGGAUUGUCCCCACUCUGCCAAGGAGGUGGUUGUGGCAGCCCUUCCCUCAGGACUGUCCCCACUCUGGCAAGGUGGCAGAUGUGGCAACCUUCCCCUCAAGACUGUUCCCACUCUGGCACGGUAGCAGUUGGGGCAGCCCUUCCUUCAGGACUGUUCCCACUCUGGCAGCAGUUCCCUCAGGAGAUAGUUGUUCCCUCUGUGUGGAGAUCACCUACUGUAACAGCUGCAGUCUCCUUAAAUAUGGAGUGCUACAUACCUCCCCGGUCAAGAGGGAGAGAUUAAUGCUAAUACUGGAGUUUGUACAUUGUCUGUUUGCUGCACUCAUCUGAUAUUCACAGUACUUUUUACCUUUGAGAGUCAAGCCAUUCCUUCAUUCCCCGAGGCUACAUUUCACUUCUGUUAAUCUAACGGAGAUAGCUGUGGCUCCUUUUUCCCAGAUCAGAAACAUCAAGAUAAGAACAGAUUCAUAUAACAAAAUAAAGUAUAGCUUUUACAAGUGUACA